UGGGGAAUAUUGCACAAUGGAGGGAACUCUGAUGCAGCGACGCCGCGUGAACGAAGAAGGCUUUCGUGUCGUAAAGUUCUUUUAUAUGGGAAGAUAAUGACGGUACCAUAAGAAAAAGCCCCGGCUAACUACGUGCCAGCAGCCGCGGUAAUACGUAGGGGGCUAGCGUUGUCCGGAAUCACUGGGCGUAAAGGGUUCGCAGGCGGAAGUGCACGUCAGGUGUAAAUGGCAGUAGCUUAACUACUGUAAGCAUUUGAAACUGCAUAUCGUGCGAAGAGUAGGGGUAAGUAGAAUUUUUAGUGUAGCGGUGAAAUGCAUAGAUAGUAAAAAGAAUACCGGUCGCGCAGGCGGCAUACUGGGCUCAUUCUGACGCUGAGGAACGACAGCGUGGGUAGCAAACAGG
rnacentral:rRNA from 1 species